CACGUACUGUCCUGCAAGCUGUGCACUGGACAACUCCUGGGGUUGCUAUUCACAGACCAUGAUGUGAAUGGUGCUUCUUGGAGUUGUAUAGUGCAGCAGCCCUGACCAAGCAAGAAUG
rnacentral:precursor_RNA from 8 species